GACGAACGCUGGCGGCGUGCUUAACACAUGCAAGUGGAGCGACGAACCAGGGCUUGCCCUGGGGCAGAGCCGCGAACGGGUGAGUAACACGUGGGUAACGUGCCCCGAUGAUCGGGACAACCCGGGGAAACCCGGGCUAAUACCGAAUGUGCUCCCCUCACACCAGUGAGGGAUGGAAAGGAAGCUUCGGCCUCCGCAUCGGGAUCGGCCCGCGGCCCAUUAGCUUGUUGGUGAGGUAACGGCUCACCAAGGCUGCGAUGGGUAGCUGGUCUGAGAGGACGAUCAGCCACACUGGGACUGAGACACGGCCCAGACUCCUACGGGAGGCAGCAGUGGGGAAUCUUGCGCAAUGCGCGAAAGCGUGACGCAGCAACGCCGCGUGGGGGAAGACGGCCUGG
rnacentral:rRNA from 1 species